rnacentral:rRNA from 1 species
AUACGGAGGAUCCGAGCGUUAUCCGGAUUUAUUGGGUUUAAAGGGUGCGCAGGCGGCCAUUUAAGUCAGCGGUUAAAUCGUGGGGCUCAACCCCAUUCUGCCGUUGAUACUGGGUGGCUUGGUUGCGGUCGAGGUUGGCGGAAUUCGUUGUGUAGCGGUGAAAUGCAUAGAUAUGACGAAGAACACCGAUUGCGUAGGCAGCUGACCAGAUCGCAAAUGACGCUCAUGCACGAAAGUGCGGGGAUCGAACAGGAUUAGAUACCCUGGUAGUCCGCACAGUAAACGAUGAAUACUUGUUUUCGGCGAUAUAAUGUCGGAGGCAAAGCGAAAGCGAUAAGUAUUCCACCUGGGGAGUACGCCGGCAACGGUGAAACUCAAAUGAAUUGACGGGG